rnacentral:lncRNA from 1 species
UGGGAGCUUUUUUUUCUACAUAUUGAAGAAAACAGCACCGGAAUUACACAGUUACCAAACGGUGCAUAUAGUCAUGAAAUUCACUUAAUCCCGGUGGCCGGCCGAAAGCAGUAGCAGCCAAAACAUCAGCUACUGGAUUUCCUUCUCAGUAGACAUGUCUCACCUUCACCCUGCACUCUUGUUGCAACAACUUCUUGAUUUCUCUUACCAAAACAUUUAGGACAACAACACCAGGAUCACCUUCUAUUAACUGUAUGGCCAUUGGGAGCAUUUUAAUCAACCCCCCAAAAAAAUGGAAGCUUUUUAUUCUUAAAGAUCUGCAGGUUGAAUGAUGCUGAUUUUUUGAUGUGAGCACAUUUACGCCACCAAGGCAAACCGAUCCGGAGGUCUUAUCAUUAGGACCUAUUACCCGUUCUAAGGCAAAGAAAUUCAGGGAAGUCUUGUUCCUUACUUGUGCUACGAUUCCAGAUUCAUUCGGUCAUGUUCAUGCCUUAGAACAUAGGCUUUAUAACAUGUUGCAUGCUGAUAUGUAACAUAUCUCGGUUAUAUUACUAGUUCAUGCGUUUAAGUAUGUCUAUGUUAUGCUAAGUCCGUUUCUGCAAUUGGGUUGAUAGUAUUUGUAUUGUUUCUAAGUUGUUUCUAAAUUGUAAGUGUGUUAAAGAAUAAGAAUUGCAAGUGUUCCAGCUUGUAAUUGUGUUUUCCAUUAAAUUUACCAGACUUUGAUGAAAGUUUGAUAUGUUUUGAUAUAGGUACAAUAAUGGACAGCAGCUUAAGGCCUCAUUUCUAGCUCGGUUGAAGUUCAAAUAUGUGCGUGCAGCUCUUCUCAGCUCGAAAUAAUUCUAAAAGCUUGUUUCCAGCUCAUUUCAGCUCAGUACAUUUCCAGCUAGCUCAAUUUCAGCUCCACCAGCUCAACUCUAGUUGACAAGUCUAGAAGUAGCUGGAAGGUGUCCUACAUAUCGGGGAGUGUCCCAUACACAUGUGGCAACCUAGGUGGCAUCCCAGCAUGCAAAUCACACACGUAACAGCCUUGACACAUGUGUGUGCAUGUGUGGCCGAAAUCAGCCCUCUUCUCUACAUAUGACGCCAAUUUCAAAGGGAUAAGAACAGGAGUUCAAAUGUUUGAAUUUCAAACGUUUUGGAUAAGAACAAGAGUUCAAAUGUUUGAAUUUCAAACGUUUCACACAUAUUAAAUGUGUGGCUGGUAUUUGAUGGCGCCAAGAGAGGAUAUAACUCAUUCAUAUUCAAAUUUGAAUUCUUUAUUUACAACUGUCGAAACC